rnacentral:tRNA from 1 species
GCGCCCAUAGCUCAAUCGGUAGAGCAGCGGCCUUUUAAGCCGAUGGUUGGGGGUUCGAUUCCCUCUGGGCGCA